rnacentral:tRNA from 1 species
GCCGCCGUAGCUCAAUUGGUAGAGCACUUGAUUUGUAAUCAUGAGGUUGUCGGUUCGAUUCCGAUCGGCGGCU